GCAGUCGACGAACCUUCGGGUUAGUGGCGGACGGGUGAGUAACGCGUGGGAAUCUGCCCUCAGGAGGGGGAUAACGGCUGGAAACGGCCGCUAAUACCCCAUAUGCCGAGAGGUGAAAUGAAUUUCGCCUGAGGAUGAGCCCGCGUCUGAUUAGCUAGUUGGUGAGGUAAGAGCUCACCAAGGCAUCGAUCAGUAGCUGGUCUGAGAGGAUGAUCAGCCACACUGGGACUGAGACACGGCCCAGACUCCUACGGGAGGCAGCAGUGGGGAAUUUUCCGCAAUGGGCGAAAGCCUGACGGAGCAACGCCGCGUGAGGGAUGAAGGCCUCUGGGCUGUAAACCUCUUUUCUCAAGGAAGAAGAUCUGACGGUACUUGAGGAAUAAGCCACGGCUAAUUCCGUGCCAGCAGCCGCGGUAAUACGGGAGUGGCAAGCGUUAUCCGGAAUUAUUGGGCGUAAAGCGUCCGCAGGCGGCCCUUCAAGUCUGCUGUUAAAACGUGGAGCUUAACUCCAUCAUGGCAGUGGAAACUGUUGGGCUUGAGUGUGGUAGGGGCAGAGGGAAUUCCCGGUGUAGCGGUGAAAUGCGUAGAUAUCGGGAAGAACACCAGUGGCGAAGGCGCUCUGCUGGGCCAUAACUGACGCUCAUGGACGAAAGCCAGGGGAGCGAAAGGGAUUAGAUACCCCUGUAGUCCUGGCCGUAAACGAUGAACACUAGGUGUCGGGGGAAUCGACCCCCUCGGUGUCGUAGCCAACGCGUUAAGUGUUCCGCCUGGGGAGUACGCACGCAAGUGUGAAACUCAAAGGAAUUGACGGGGGCCCGCACAAGCGGUGGAGUAUGUGGUUUAAUUCGAUGCAACGCGAAGAACCUUACCAGGGUUUGACAUCCUGCGAACCUCUUGGAAACGAGAGGGUGCCUUCGGGAACGCAGUGACAGGUGGUGCAUGGCUGUCGUCAGCUCGUGUCGUGAAAUGUUGGGUUAAGUCCCGCAACGAGGGCAACCCACGUCUUUAGUUGCCAGCAUUUAGUUGG
rnacentral:rRNA from 1 species